rnacentral:rRNA from 1 species
UACGUAGGGUGCAAGCGUUGUCCGGAAUUAUUGGGCGUAAAGAGCUCGUAGGCGGUCUGUCGCGUCUGCUGUGAAAACUCAGGGCUUAACCCUGAGCUUGCAGUGGGUACGGGCAGACUAGAGUGCGGUAGGGGAGACUGGAAUUCCUGGUGUAGCGGUGAAAUGCGCAGAUAUCAGGAGGAACACCGGUGGCGAAGGCAGUUCUCUGGGCCGUAACUGACGCUGGAGGAGCGAAAGCGUGGGGAGCGAACAGG